rnacentral:rRNA from 1 species
AUGGGAAAAGCUGGGGAGGUGGCGGCUUAUUUUUUAAGCUGCCAAAAGAAUCAAUUUACUUACCAUGACAACUCGUCAUUGUUUUAUUGCAGCCCAAACUCUACGAACUUCCAUGAAUAUACCUUGCCUGAAAAUGUACACAGCGUAGUCCCAUCAGGAUUUAUGAUGCAUGUUAAAUAUUUACAAGCCGGUGGAUAUCCUAAGCCACCACCACUUAUGCUCGAAGUCUGUGGGAAAUUGUGUGAUACAUUUGAAGAGGUUUUUGGUCAACUUCUUCCUUAUAAGGGCUGUGAUUGCAAUAUCAAUCACCGUACUUCUGGGGAGGAGGUCUGGGCUAAACUUCCGAAAGGUGUUGUUACAAAUAUCGGCCGGCGUGUUGUCACACUUUCUUCAUACGAUGGAGACGUGAGAGUUUUUGCAUGUACAGGCCUACUUAUAAAGUGGCAUAAAAAUGGCACGCCUGUUAUUCUGACUUCGGCCAGUUUGGUUAGAAGUCUGGUUGAUGAAGACAAGAUUGAUGAAAAAAUGAAGAUUAAAGUAUUUCUCCCACCGAAACAGAUCACUGAUGGGACAUUGGAACUGUACCAUUCAGAUUAUAACAUUGCUGUCAUCAAUGUUCAGAAGUGCCUAUAUGGUAUUCGUCCGGAGAAUAUUUUCCGCAAGGUGAAAAGACCACGUAGAGAAGUGGUAGCUAUAGGGCGCGAUGUUGAUGAUGGAUUAUUAAUGGGGACAAUUGGUAAAGUGAUUAAGACGCCUGCGAACAGACCUUGCAAACUUAACUGCAAAGACCUUAAGCUGUCUACAUGUAAAAUCAAGAAGGCUGGGAUUGGAGGACCCCUUGUUAAUUUCGUUAAUGGAUCUUUUGCUGGCAUGAACUUCUAUGAUAGAACUAAUAGAACUCCUUACCUGCCAAGGAGAAUCAUUGUACAAGUUUUAAGGGGGAUUGAUCUCCCAUCUCAAAGAGGAAUAAACCAUCCCACAGACAUAAUGGGUGAUGCCGCAGUUAAGGAAAACAGGUGGUCGGUUCCUAAACCAUAUUGGUAUCAUCCUCUAUUCGAUGAGGAUCCUCCUCUGCGUUUUGUUGGAAGGCAACUCCACUAG